rnacentral:rRNA from 1 species
GGGGAAUAUUGGACAAUGGGGGCAACCCUGAUCCAGCGACGCCGCGUGUGUGAAGAAGGCCUGCGGGUUGUAAAGCACUUUUAGUGGGGAUGAAAAGCUCAGUUCUAAUACAGCUGGGUCUUGACCUAACCCAAAGAAAAAGCACCGGCUAACUCUGUGCCAGCAGCCGCGGUAAUACAGAGGGUGCAAGCGUUAAUCGGAAUUACUGGGCGUAAAGCGUGCGCAGUCGGUUAUUUAAGUCGGAUGUGAAAUCCCCGGGCUCAACCUGGGAAUUGCAUUCGAUACUGGAUAGCUAGAGUUAGGCAGAGGGAAGCGGAAUUUCGGGUGUAGCGGUGAAAUGCGUAGAUAUCCGAAGGAACAUCAGUGGCGAAAGCGGCUUCCUGGACCAGAACUGACGAUCAGGCACGAAAGCGUGGGGAGCAAAC